GUGGGGAAUAUUGGACAAUGGGCGAAAGCCUGAUCCAGCCAUGCCGCGUGUGUGAAGAAGGUCUUCGGAUUGUAAAGCACUUUAAGUUGGGAGGAAGGGCAGUAAGUUAAUACCUUGCUGUUUUGACGUUACCGACAGAAUAAGCACCGGCUAACUUCGUGCCAGCAGCCGCGGUAAUACGAAGGGUGCAAGCGUUAAUCGGAAUUACUGGGCGUAAAGCGCGCGUAGGUGGUUUUGUAAGUUGGAGGUGAAAUCCCCGGGCUCAACCUGGGAACUGCCUCCAAAACUGCAUGACUAGAGUACGGUAGAGGGUAGUGGAAUUUCCUGUGUAGCGGUGAAAUGCGUAGAUAUAGGAAGGAACACCAGUGGCGAAGGCGACUACCUGGACUGAUACUGACACUGAGGUACGAAAGCGUGGGGAGCAAACAGGAUUAGAUACCCGAGUAGUCC
rnacentral:rRNA from 1 species